AGUUCACUCCCAGUACCCGCCCCCUGCGCUGGGUCCUCCCGAAGUAGGAAACGGUGAAAGAGAGGGUCCUGUGCUGUUCUGCAGGGAAGCGUCGCUUCCGCUCAGCUGUCCCUACACCAUGGACUCAGUACCUGCCACUGUGCCUUCUGUCACUGCUUCCCCGGGGAACCCGGAGCUCCUGGGACUCCUGUAGGUGCUCUACGCAGCCCUCAUAGCCAAGCUACUGGAGCUGUUUACUACAUUGCCUGAUGAUACUCAACCUGGGCCUGAUUUUUAUGGACUACCAUGGAAGCCUGUAGUUUUCACUGUUUUGUUUGGAUUUGUAUCCUUUGUCGUUUUCUUUUGGAAAACUAUUCUUGUUGU